GCUAGCAAUCAGCGAGACUCCGUGGGCGUAGGACCCUCCGAGCCAGGUGCGGGAUGUAAUCUCGUGGUGCGCCGUUUUUUAAGCCCGUCGGAAAAGCGCAGUAUUCGGGUGGGAGUGACCCGAUUUUCCAGGUGCCGUCUGUCACCCCUUUCUUUGACUUGGAAAGGGAACUCCCUGACCCCUCGCGCUUCCCAGGUGAGGCAAUGCCUCGCCCUGCUUCGGCUCGUCCACGAUGCGCGCACCCACUGGCCUGCGCCCACUGUCUGGCACUCCCUAGUGAGAGAAACCCGGUACCUCAGAUGGAAAUGCAGAAAUCACCCGUCUUCUGCGUCGCUCACGCUGGGAGCUGUAGACCGGAGCUGUUCCUAUUCGGCCAUCUUGGCUCUCCCUUAGUCUAGAUUGCAGCUAAUCUUCCCCUUACAUGACACCUACAAGUUAAACAAACUGCAACUAGGAAGAUCGUGAUCAUUUGACUAGGACCUGGAUUGUUUGAGAGAGGCAGUCUAAAAGUAAGUUUUUACUAAUUAUUUUUGAACCUUGUAAUGGCAUUUUAAGCAACUGCUUUCACCUACAAUAAUAGUUACUUAUUUUACUUUUCCUGAAUAAGCCAGGCUCUUUCCUAAGUUUAUUAAAUGUAUUGUCUACUCUACCCCUUAUACCACAGACUCACAAUGUAGAUACUAUCAUGAUUAUAAUAAUCAUACUAUUAAUAAAAAUUAAUAUUACUUUAUUUGUAUUAUGGCUACUAUUGUUCUAUUGACAAAAAGAGAAGAGAGGUUAAGUAACGCGCAUAGAGAGAUAAGUACCAGGUCCCCAAAUAAACCUCAACCAUGUGGUUAAAGCCUAUUAAUAGCCUGACCACAAGCCCUCUGAGGUGGGAGCCUGGACACUUAAUAUCCUAUUAAUCCCUACUGUGCUGUGGGCUAGAGCCUAUGUGUCCCUUCAAGGAGCACAGGGAUGUUAAGUGUGGGUCUGUAGCUCUGGGGAGCUGUUUUCCUUUUAGGAAUACUCCUUGCUAGUUUUCAAAUAAUUCUUUAGCACUGAAGUUGGGACCCCUGAGACAUUUUUUUAUGUUCUAAAGACCACUCUGUUAGUUAAGUAAACCUGACUACAACCUUGAACAAAUUUAUAAUCUAUUGAAAUGUUACAGUAAAAGAAAUGCGAAGGUAAAGCAAAAAUUCUAAUUAUUUCAAAGGUAAUUGCAAACUAUCUAGCUGCCCUGAGAGUCUCCCCAAAGUCCCGGCAUUGCUUGGCACUACCACACCCUGUUUUCUGGAGGAUUUUUAGUUCAAACACGUACCUAAAUUUGACCAGAUAUCUAAAUUCCCAUUUGGAGACACAUCAUGGCAUGUAGGAUACUUUCCUACUUUUUCGCUAAAAAAGGUUUUCGAUCGAAAGUUGAAUGCUGUGGAUGUUGAAGUCCCAUGCGUCUGAGGUCCCAAGUCUCAGAAGCCUUUCCUCAUGCUGUUUCCAUACGUGUUUUCAGUUCUUGGAAUGAAAUUCUCAGAUUAGAACGCAUCAGACCUCUCUUAGUUCUCAUGGAGUAUGUAGAGGCCAUGAUGAACUGAAGAUUUCUCUCUGGUGUGGAUAUGUUUUCUCUUUUACCUCUGAACUUCUACAUCAAGACUUCGUGUGAAUGAGCUCUGCUUUUGAGGAUUCAUGACUCUUUUCCUCCAUGAUUUGAAAAUGUAUAUUCAAAAGAUUAAAAGAUGGAGCUGGCCGAGUGAGGUGGCUCAUGCCUGUAAUCCCAGCACUGUGGGAGGCCGAAGCAGGUGGAUCACUUGAGGUCAGCAGUUCAAGACCACCCUGGCCAACAUGGUGAAACCCUGCCUCUACUAAAAAUACAGAAAUUAGCCAAGUGCAAUGGCAGGCACCUGUAAUCCCAGCUACUCGGGAAGCUGAGGAUGGAGAAUCACUUGAACCCUGGAGGCAGAGGUUGCAGUGAACUGAGAUCACACCACAGCACUCCAGUCUGGGUGACUCAGUCUUGAAAAAUGAAAUGAAAUAAAAUAAAAUAAAAGAUAGAGCUGGAGUUUUGCUGGUUACUAUUAUUUAAUCAGAGGACAUAUCACCCUCCUCACAAAGGUGAGAAUCACACAGUCCCAGGAGGUUGUUUGGGCACCAGCUACAGGCCCACAGUCACCGUCAGCAAAAUCAAAUGUGUGUGUUACACACAGACGUCUCAUCUCCAUGGGCUUAUAGACACCAGGCUAGGCAACUAAAAGGGAAAAGUAUUUUUUAUUUUUAUUUUGUUUCUUCCAAGUUAAAGCAUGCUUUUCCUGUUUAUAAAACUUCUGUUUUUGGAAACACUUCUCACUGUACUUUACCAUGAGCAAGGUAAGAUAAGUUUUAUAAGUAGGAAAGCAUGCUUUUAUUUUUGUUUUUAUUUUAUACAAGUAAAGAAGAAAAUAAAAGCAAAACAAAAAUUUAUCUCUCUCAAGUGUCUACUCUCAAUGUUUUGUGCUUGCCACACCCCAUAGUCUAUACACAUACAUACUUACAAAGAGGAUUGUUCACCUGUGGGCUUGUUUAACAUACAUUUAUUUUAUAAUGUAUCAUAUAUAUCUUUUCAUAAUUUUUAAAAAAUUAUCUCUUCACUAUAAUGACUACAUAUGUUUGCAUUCUGGGGUGUUAAUUUAAUUUAAUUAGCAAAUCAUUUAUCAAUGCAUAUUUACUGUGACUAUGAUUGUUUAUAUUUUAACUAAUGUUGUGAUGACAUUCUUGUGUAUAUUUUGUUGCAAUACAUUUCCCAAAGGACAAUUUUUCAGCCUUAGGUUUUUCACAUUUCAUAUCUCUGAGACUGUGCUCCAUAAAGCUAUAUGGAUUUGGAUCCCCGUUAGAGACGUGUCUACACUCAUUUCUGAUAAAUGCACACAGGUAUCUCCAGGACUUAUGCCCUGCCCAGAAUACACUGGUUUUCUAUAAAUACUGUUGAAUGAAUAAAUGUAUCUUUAACAUUACCAUGGUGUUUUUUAACCUCUGUCAACAUGAGAAGCAAAACCUACCUCCUUGUUUUAAUUUACAUUUGUUUAAUUGCCUGUGAGGCCCAACAUCUUUUCAUAAAUGCCUGGCUAAUUUGUGUAUUUAUUUUUCCUCUUGUGAACUGCCUACUCAUUUUCUUUUGAUGUUAUUGAUGUGUAGGAUUCUCCUUGUUGACUUGUAAGAAUAAUUUAGAAACUAGUGAGUAAAUCUUUGUUUUGUGUGUCAAUUUUUUUUCAAUUAUUUGCUUGUCUUUUAUUGUUUGGUUGCUUUUACCUUAGGUAAAAAGGUAAGUGUUAUGUCUUUCUCCAGGUUUAAUUUAUUUAUUUUUUUGGAGGAGGGAUAUUCUGGGUCUUUACUACAUAACCCACCUCUACUCCAAAAGCAUAAUUUUUCACUAUUUUUAUAAACAUUAAUAUAUGUCCCAAACAUAAUUUUUGUCCUCAUUUUUUUAGAACACAGAACAACACACAGUUUUAGAACAUAAAGCAUAAAAUUUUUGAGUGUAUUAGUCUGUUCUCAUGCUGCUUAUAAAGACAUACCCAAGACUGGGUAAUUUAUAAAGAAAAGAGGUUUAAUGGACUCACAGUUCCACAUGGCUGGGGGAGCCUCACAAUCAUGGCAGAAGACGAAUGCGGAGCAGAGUCACAUCUUACAUGGCUGCAGGCAAUAGAGAUUGUGUAGGGGAACUGCCCUUUAUAAAACCAUCAGAUCUCGUGAGACUUAUUCACUAUCAAGAGAACAGCAGGGAAAAGACCUGCCCCAUGAUUCAAUUACCUCCCACUGGGUCCCUCCCACAACAUGUGGGGAUUAUGGGAGCUACAAUUCAAGAUGAAGUUUUGGGGGGGACACAGCCAGACCACAUCAAAGGGUCUUCAUUUGAAUUGUUUUCCACAUGAGGAUGAGAAGAUUUCUAUUUUUUUAAUUUAAAUACUAGUCAGCUGAGUAUUUUUUACUCAGUAUCAUUUACUGAAAACCUAACUUUUCCCCAGAGUUGAAAGGACAUCUCUGUUAAAUAUGAGAUUUGCAUAUAAAACUGGAUAAAGCUUAAACUCUGAAUUCUCUUCUUCUUAUCCCCCCAUCUAUUGCUAGGCCUGUAACAUACCCUACCAUUUGAAUUAUUUACCUUUCAAGUGCAUUUUAUGUUUUCUUAAUUUAUAUGGUCCUCUUUAUGCUUCCUUGCAUAAUUCCCACUCCCAUUUUUGUAUAUUUAUUUUCUGGAUAAGCUUUAGAAUAAUUGCUGUUGUGUUUUAAAAUAUUGGUGGAACUUUAUUAAGAUGCUAUUGAAUAUAUGAAUUAAAUUGGGAAGACUUGUCAUCUUAAUGAAAUAGAAUCUUCCCAUCUAAGAAGCAGGUAUGAUUUUCAAUAUUUCAUCAUAUGUUUAUACAUACAACAUGGCUUUUAAAUUUCAUUUCAGGAAAGUAUAGAAAUAUGGGCUGACUUGCUAUCAUUUUUUUUUUUUUUGAGAUGGAGUUUCAUUCUUGUUGCCCAAGCUGGAGUGUAAUGGCGUGAUCUUGGCUCACUGCAACCUCGGCCUCCCAGGUUCAAGCAAUUCUCCUGCUUCAGCCUUCUGAGUAGCUAGGAUUACAGGCAUGCGCCACCACAGAUGACUAAUUUUGUAUUUUUAGUAGAGACAGGGUUUCUCCAUGUUGGUCAGGCUGGUCUCGAACUCCCAACCUCAGGUGAUCCACCCGCCUUGGCCUCCCAAAAUGCUGGGAUUAUAGCCAUGAGCCACCGCGCCCGGCCCAAGAGUUGCUAUCUUAAUGAAAUAUAACCUUCCCAUCUAAGAAGCAGAGUUUUGCUCGGUCACUCACGGCAACCUCCGCCUCCUGGGUUCAAGCAGUUCUCCUGCCUCAGUCUCCCGAGUAGCUGGGACUCUACAGGCAUCCCCCAUCAGAUGUUGUUCUGUUGGGUUUCAUUUAACCAGUCUCAACAAAUGAUACAGAAUAUUUCCUAAAGAACUUAUAAUCCAAUAAAUGACUUUUUGAUGCCUCAUGGAGAAAAUUGGCUUUGAGACCACACUUCUUCCCACUUCUUCAAUAUAAAAGAAAAACAAGUUCUUAUUAACACAAUUUUGGACACUCAAGCACAUUCUAUGGUUCUGUAUUGGUGAUGAAAACUGCCUAUGAGCGACUACCAACCUCUUUUAUGCUGCCUAUUUUUGGAGAUGUCCAAAUUUAAGAUUAAGGAUUCUGGAAAUUUGUUUCACAUAUUCUCUUUCUCUUUCUCUCAAGGUUAGGGUACCCAGUGUCUUCCAAACUAAAGUAUUGUAAUAUUACCCUGCCACCUAGGGGUAUUGCCAAAGAAAUUUAUGCAUGUAUAUAGACAUUUAGUGUAUUGGUCAAAAUGUGACAAUUAUGUUAUUAAAGUAUGUAAUUAACAGUCACAAUUGUGUUUUUGUAUUUUGUUUUCUCUUUCAUAAUAGUCUUUGUUCUUGAAACCAAAUGAGAAUGGU
rnacentral:lncRNA from 10 species